GACGUAGGGCGCGAGCGUUGUCCGGAUUUAUUGGGCGUAAAGAGCUCGUAGGCGGCUUGUCGCGUCGUUCGUGAAAACCCGGGGCUCAACUCCGGGCUUGCGGGCGAUACGGGCAGGCUAGAGUUCGGUAGGGGAGACUGGAAUUCCUGGUGUAGCGGUGAAAUGCGCAGAUAUCAGGAGGAACACCGGUGGCGAAGGCGGGUCUCUGGGCCGGUACUGACGCUGAGGAGCGAAAGCGUGGGGAGCAAACAGG
rnacentral:rRNA from 1 species